rnacentral:rRNA from 1 species
GACGGACGCUGGCGGCGUGCUUAACACAUGCAAGUCGAACGGAAAGGCCCCAGCUUGCUGGGGUACUCGAGUGGCGAACGGGUGAGUAACACGUGGGUGAUCUGCCCUGCACUCUGGGAUAAGCCUGGGAAACUGGGUCUAAUACCGGAUAGGACCGUGCUUUAGUGUGUGCGGUGGAGAGUUUUUCGGCGCAGGAUGAGCCCGCGGCCUAUCAGCGUGUUGGUGGGGUAAUGGCCUACCAAGGCGGCGACGGGUAGCCGGCCUGAGAGGGUGUACGGCCACAUUGGGACUGAGACACGGCCCAGACUCCUACGGGAGGCAGCAGUGGGGAAUAUUGCACAAUGGGCGCAAGCCUGAUGCAGCGACGCCGCGUGGGGGAUGACGGCCUUCGGGUUGUAAACCCCUUUCGGCAGGGACGAAGCUUUUGUGACGGUACCUGCAUAAGAAGCACCGGCUAACUACGUG